UGCAGUCGAACGGUGAUGUCAGAGCUUGCUCUGGCGGAUCAGUGGCGAACGGGUGAGUAACACGUGAGUAACCUGCCCCCGACUCUGGGAUAACUGCUAGAAAUGGUAGCUAAUACCGGAUAUGACGAUUGGCCGCAUGGUCUGGUCGUGGAAAGAAUUUCGGUUGGGGAUGGACUCGCGGCCUAUCAGGUUGUUGGUGAGGUAAUGGCUCACCAAGCCUACGACGGGUAGCCGGCCUGAGAGGGUGACCGGCCACACUGGGACUGAGACACGGCCCAGACUCCUACGGGAGGCAGCAGUGGGGAAUAUUGCACAAUGGGCGAAAGCCUGAUGCAGCAACGCCGCGUGAGGGAUGACGGCCUUCGGGUUGUAAACCUCUUUUAGUAGGGAAGAAGCGAAAGUGACGGUACCUGCAGAAAAAGCACCGGCUAACUACGUGCCAGCAGCCGCGGUAAUACGUAGGGUGCAAGCGUUGUCCGGAAUUAUUGGGCGUAAAGAGCUCGUAGGCGGUUUGUCGCGUCUGCUGUGAAAUCCCGAGGCUCAACCUCGGGUCUGCAGUGGGUACGGGCAGACUAGAGUGCGGUAGGGGAGAUUGGAAUUCCUGGUGUAGCGGUGGAAUGCGCAGAUAUCAGGAGGAACACCGAUGGCGAAGGCAGAUCUCUGGGCCGUAACUGACGCUGAGGAGCGAAAGCAUGGGGAGCGAACAGGAUUAGAUACCCUGGUAGUCCAUGCCGUAAACGUUGGGAACUAGAUGUGGGGACCAUUCCACGGUCUCCGUGUCGCAGCUAACGCAUUAAGUUCCCCGCCUGGGGAGUACGGCCGCAAGGCUAAAACUCAAAGGAAUUGACGGGGGCCCGCACAAGCGGCGGAGCAUGCGGAUUAAUUCGAUGCAACGCGAAGAACCUUACCAAGGCUUGACAUAUACCGGAAACAUGCAGAAAUGUGUGCCCCGCAAGGUCGGUAUACAGGUGGUGCAUGGUUGUCGUCAGCUCGUGUCGUGAGAUGUUGGGUUAAGUCCCGCAACGAGCGCAACCCUCGUUCUAUGUUGCCAGCACGUAAUGGUGGGAACUCAUAGGAGACUGCCGGGGUCAACUCGGAGGAAGGUGGGGAUGACGUCAAAUCAUCAUGCCCCUUAUGUCUUGGGCUUCACGCAUGCUACAAUGGCCGGUACAAAGGGCUGCGAUACCGUAAGGUGGAGCGAAUCCCAAAAAGCCGGUCUCAGUUCGGAUUGAGGUCUGCAACUCGACCUCAUGAAGUCGGAGUCGCUAGUAAUCGCAGAUCAGCAACGCUGCGGUGAAUACGUUCCCGGGCCUUGUACACACCGCCCGUCAAGUCAUGAAAGUCGGUAACACCCGAAGCCAGUGGCCUAACCGCAAGGGAGGAGCGUCGAA
rnacentral:rRNA from 1 species